AAAAAUAGAGGUACUAAAGGUUCAGUCAAAGAGGUGGAUAAAAAGUUGGAUGUCACUGUCACAGAGGCAAAACCAUCUCAAGAUAAAGAAGAUGCCACUAACGCCAAAAAAGAGGAACCAGCACAGUAUGAAUACUUUGAUUACCGUGUGUACCUCGCGGAAUCAGAUGAGGGGUAUACUGAAGUUGUUAGGAAGCACAAGCCAAGACAUAAUGUAUCAUCGCUGGAUAAAACCUCAUCAAACAAAGAUAGCUCUUCCUCCACUGACACAGAAAAAAGAAAAAAGGAAUCCAGACGGUCCAAAGGCAAAUCUUCUGCCACUAACACUGAUGUUAAGAAAAAGGAAAAUUCUCCCCAGAACAAAGGCAAGUCUUCAACUGCUAACCCUGGCAAUAUAAAAAAGGAACCCACCAGUACUAAAGAAACUGCUAGAAAUUCAAAAAGAUCUGCACCAGGAGCAAGAUCAAAAGCUCAGAGCCACACAGCAAGCACCAGGAUGACUGACUUAUCAACUAGCAGG